UUCCGGUGAUCCUGCCGGACCCGACUGCUAUCAGAGUGGGACUAAGCCAUGCGAGUCGACGUAGCAAUGCGUGGCGAACGGCUCAGUAACACGUAGUCAACAUGCCCAGGGGACGUGGAUAACCUCGGGAAACUGAGAAUAAACCACGAUAGGUCACGAUUUCUGGAAUGGAUCAUGGCCUAAAUCUACAUGGCCCCUGGAUUGGACUGCGGCCGAUCAGGCUGUUGGUGAGGUAAUGGCCCACCAAACCUGUAACCGGUACGGGCUCUGAGAGGAGAAGCCCGGAGAUGGGCACUGAGACAAGGGCCCAGGCCCUAUGGGGCGCAGCAGGCGCGAAACCUCUGCAAUAGGCGAAAGCCUGACAGGGUUACUCUGAGUGAUUUCCGCUAAGGGGAUCUUUUGGCACCUCUAAAAAUGGUGCAGAAUAAGGGGUGGGCAAGUCUGGUGUCAGCCGCCGCGGUAAUACCAGCACCCCGAGUGGUCGGGACGAUUAUUGGGCCUAAAGCAUCCGUAGCCGGUUCUGCAAGUCUUCCGUUAAAUCCAGCCGCUCAACGGAUGGGCCGCGGAGGAUACUACAGGACUAGGAGGCGGGAGAGGCAAGCGGUACUCAGUGGGUAGGGGUAAAAUCCUUUGAUCCAUUGAAGACCACCAGUGGCGAAGGCGGCUUGCCAGAACGCGCUCGACGGUGAGGGAUGAAAGCUGGGGGAGCAAACCGGAUUAGAUACCCGGGUAGUCCCAGCUGUAAACGAUGCAGACUCGGUGAUGGGCUAGCCUUGUGCCAGCCCAGUGCCGCAGGGAAGCCGUUAAGUCUGCCGCCUGGGGAGUACGGUCGCAAGACUGAAACUUAAAGGAAUGGCGGGGGAGCA
rnacentral:rRNA from 1 species